CAGCAACUGUGCUUGAGGAUGCUCACUGGGCGCACGAGGAGCCCACACCUCAGGGCCUCGGCUGACUGACCCUUUCCUUUCUUCCUAGUUCUCCUGUCUAUCUGCUCUCUGCUCUGCGACCCCAACCCUGAUGACCCACUCGUGCCAGAAAUAGCCCACACUUACAAGGCCGACAGAGCGAAGUAUGCGCCCUCUUAGGGUUGGCUUUGUGUGCAGCUGCCCAGGUUCCCACGGACAUCUUCCUGCCCAAGCCAAGCCCAUGUAAAACAGACUAGCAAGAGAGUGGACACAGAAAUAUGCUAUGUAAGUGCCUCGAAGGCUCCAUGGAAGACCCUGUCCAAGAGAAGCUCGCCCCACAGAGUGACCUUCCUGUGAAGCUCUGAGCUCUUGGCUAAGGCACUCUCGGAACAUCCUGUGUUCACACAUGUGUUGGCACUCACCUCUGUGGCUGCAGCAUGUUGGUGCCACUUUUAGCCAUUGUGGCCUUGACAGUACCACACCUUUGAUACUAAAUCAGCAACCACUGUUAUGAUCUACAGUCUUCCUGGUUACACUAGAAUCUGUCUGGGGAAUCAAGCCAUGCAUGCCUCCUGUACUUGUCCUCAAAUGGUGCCACUACUCACUGUGACACUCUAGAGGGGCCCAGUCUGCCCCCUGACCACCUGCCCUUUGCCUUUAGAGCACAGUGAUUUCCUAGGGGCCCAGACAGAGUGGGCUCUCUUCAUACUUUGUCUGCCACAGAACCAUGUCCUAAGGAGUGCCACUAUGUCCUGGAGGCUCCUAGAAAUUGGAACAGCCUCCCCUGAAAGCCAUCUUCCGCCACGUUCCUCCAUAGUGCUCCAUGCUGCAAACAGCAAGCGAGGAGCAUUGGGGCAUUUAAAGCACAUAACACCCAAGGAAGAAUGGGAUUCUCAGACAAGGGGAGAUUCGGGUUAUGCUUGUGUAUGUAAUGAGGCUUCCUCUACCGUCUUCCCACUGGAAACUUAACGUGAAAUUCAAGCAUAAGCCAUUCACAAACUGGAACACAAG
rnacentral:lncRNA from 1 species